rnacentral:rRNA from 1 species
UACGAAGGGGGCUAGCGUUGUUCGGAAUUACUGGGCGUAAAGCGCGCGCAGGCGGUCUUCCAAGUCAGUGGUGAAAGCCCGGAGCUCAACUCCGGAACUGCCAUUGAAACUGUGAGACUUGAGGAUGAGAGAGGUGAGUGGAAUUCCCAGUGUAGAGGUGAAAUUCGUAGAUAUCGGGAGGAACACCGGUGGCGAAGGCGGCGAUCUGGGUCGAUACUGACGCUGAGGUGCGAAAGCGUGGGGAGCAAACAGG